GGAGACAACCAGGCGAUCGCCGCCCGUCGCAGCAGCCCGCAGGGGUGCGAAGGUGGGGGGAGGAAAGUCCGGGCUCCGCAGGGCAGGAUGGUCCCUAACGGGGACCGGGGGCGACCCCAGGGAAAGUGCCACAGAGAGAAGACCGUUUCGACUUCGCCAAAGCUACGUCGCACAAGCCGUUGUUGCUUAUACGGCCUGUCGCCGUGGCGCCGCUUGCGGUGCGAACGAGGAAUAAGGGUGAAAGGGUGAGGUAAGAGCUCACCAGUGCCGGUGGUGACACCGGCAGCUCGGUAAACCCCAUCCGGAGCAAGACCGAAUAGGGGAGCGUUUAAGGGCGGCCCGCCCGAGGCUCCCGGGUCAGGUCGCUGGAGGCCGUCGGCAACGGCGGUCCUAGAGGAAUGAUCGCCACCCCGUCGCGGGCAACUGCGGCGGGGAACAGAACCCGGCUUACGGUUCUCUCCGACC
rnacentral:RNase_P_RNA from 1 species